UGGGAAUGCCAUGGGGCAAUCUGCCUCCAGUGCUGAAGUCUCCUCGAGAGGGUGGAUGUCUAGUUUAUCCUUUUGUGGAUUGUGGUUAGGUCUGUCGUGCCAUGUUUUUAUUAUGCCUGUUAUGCAGAUUGUCGCUUAAUACUUAAAUAUAUUGUCUCAAGAUCUUGGUUGGUUGUCAACUUGUCAUGGACAAAUGCUUUUUGCUUGCACGUGUAUGUCACAAUAACUAGAAAGGGCAGAUGAUUUUGUCUUCUCUCUUGUGUUUGUUACCAGAUUUCAAGAAGACAAUCUUAU
rnacentral:misc_RNA from 1 species